CACCGACAAUUCUCGGCGGUGGAUCACUCGGCUCGUGCGUCGAUGAAGAACGCAGCCAGCUGCGUGAACUAGUGUGAAUUGCAGGACACAUCGAUCAUCGACACUUCGAACGCACAUUGCGGCCCCGGGUUUCUUUUCUCGGGGCCACGCCUGUCUGAGGGUCGGCGA
rnacentral:rRNA from 1 species